UCUUCCUUUUGGAGUAUUUGGUGAGCCCUGAUCCUUGGGAUGGGAAGCCUUGGACCAAAGCCUGACCUAGGGAAUGUAGAUGAAGUUGGAAGCUUUGCACAGGCAAUCACCUUUCAUUGACUUGGAGCCACGAGUGCAGUGGACAAAUAAGAAAUGUAGCAUUACAGACUCUAUCAGUCACUCAGGUUCUGGCACAACUGUAUUUCUAACCUUUGGACCAUCCUUGGAUAGAAAAAAAAAACCACUAAUGCAGGAAAAAGACCCUCACAGAGGAGGCCCUUACUGUGAAUGAAUAUCUGUUUGAAAGACAACCUGAAUGCAGCUCAGUUUUGUACAAAUAGAGCCCUUCCAGGAGUAAGUGUUGCCUUUGUGGGAGUAACAGUGACUCUACAGAUGCAAACAAUGGAGCUACAUGGUUUUGCAUUGCUUGUUCUGUCACUAACUGACAUCAGGCACUGUUAAUCAUGGCUUGAAAUGUAUAUUUAAGAAACAGUGACACAAACACAGACAAGUUCCUUCAGGAAGCCUUUCAUAUGGGGGAAAGUGAAAGAAAAGAAAAACUGCUCCUCAGGCUAGCUGGUGGCACUGAAAUAAAUAGGUCAGGCUUCAGAGUUUCAGCAGGCACAAGAGGUGAACACCCUGUCUCCUGGAGCAAUUAAAAGUCAAUGGGAUUAGCGGCCUUCACUAUUAUUUAUAAAGUCCCCACUGUAUGCACAACAUUACUGAAAUACAAGGGUCAAGUCCCUGGUACUGGAUGCCUACCCUUUUGCUGUUGAAGUUAAUGGGAGCUUUGCCAAUCAACUCUGUGGCAACAGAGUCUAAAUCUAAAAUAGAUGACAUCCUGUGCUCCGUUCAGUUGAUAGCUCAUGCAAAGCCUUUGCUGAAGCCAAAGAAGUUCUGCCUGCACAGUACAGACUUCAUCCAGGGACAGGUGAAACAGAAGUGCUAUCUAUAGAAGUGCUCAAAGUCAAGGAAAGGAAAGCAGAGAGGUGGAUUGAGCGUCACAGGAAGCUACUUCCCUUCCUUUCUGAGAUAAAUUGCAGUAUACAGACUGAAAUCUGAUGUGCUGCAACCCAGCAUCUCCUAGGCUUCAGAUUUAGCAGGACUGGCUGUUUUCCAAUGAAUAAUUCUCAUUCUAGCACCAUGUAAAUGAAUCCUGUGGGAAUACACCUAUGAAAAGUACUCGGAUGGGGCACCUGCUCUGUCAUUAUGUGAUUCAACAUGUUCGAAAACAGUGUGCUGAUGUUAUAGCCAGCUCAGACAGAUCUCACCAAACACCUGCAUCUCCUUUCCUGAGCUUCCCUGCCUUUCUACUUGCUUGUAAUGCUACUUGUGUAAUUGCUCCUUAUCAUGCUCAUGUCCCUAAUUCAGCCACAAGCUACCUCUUAUCCUCUUUAUCUUACUCUAGAAUGGAAAUACCCAAUUUUGCUUUGUCUUACAACACUGUAAAUCAGAAAUCAAGCGUCCCAGUGAUUUCCUGCAUUUCUCUGUGCUAUGGAGGAAUCAGUCUGUAGGGUGACAAUGUUUCCUGGCUUAGUUCAUGAUUUCAGGUGCUAUCAAGCAGCAAGCUAAUGAGAGCUUUUGGGUGUGCCUGUGUUUGUAACAGGAGCAAGUCUGAGAUUCUCACCUGUUAUUUCCAGUGGCACAUGCCAAGGACCAGCCAAUCAGUGGUACUCAGCAUGCACUGCUAUUACAUGGGACCAUCAAGAAUGGUAUGUGGAAUGUUCAUCCAGACUGAGGAGCAAGAAUGAGCUAGGAAUUUCCAGAUGGGGCAGUCCUGGUAUAUAGGAGAGAGCCCUCUACACAUUUAGGGUCUCCUUAGCUCCAGCUGGGUCCUGACUGUGACAACAAGUGCCUGUAUUACCUUACAGAUGCAUUCAAUCUUCACAUGCGCUGGAAAGGCAGGUCUUGUAUGCAAGGAGCUGUGAGCCCUGGACCAGCCCUUGGAUCUGCUCCUCUUCAGUUUUCUUGAUCUCAAGACUGAUAUCAGAUCUGAAGAAUUUGUUGUGCUUUCAGAUACAUUAUCUUUAAUUCUGAUGACUGUAGACAUGAUUUGGUAUGCACAUGGCUUCACAAUCAUUAAAUGUAGUUAAGUCCUUUGGCUUGCUAAUGUCUUGUAGUAGGGAACUCCACAGCUCAGUGUCACACCACAUAGAAAUGCAUGUCCUGCUAUCCACUGCAAGUUGUCUUCCCUUUUGGUUUCCUUAGAGGUCUCCAUGUGCGUAUGAUAAUGACCUGAUCUCCUUAAAGUCUGGAAGGGACUUUGGUGGGAAGAAUGAUCUAUUUCCAAGCUUUUCCAUUGAGUACUGAGCUAUGUCAGCCUGCUGCCAAAAGUCACUAUCUCUUCCUUCUGAUCCUGCUUAGUCAACCAGUCCUAUCCAGGCUGUUAAAAUCUCCACCAUUACAGUAUUCUUCCUCAGAACAGAGAAAUAGAGAAACACAGGCAGAAACUGACAGGUAGGAAAAGAUGUAUGCAUGCUGACUGAGAAUCUCACAAGCGAUCCUUGAGACACUUACUUCCAAAUGAUCUCAGUUCCAUCUAAGAAUGCUUUUCUAUUUAUUUUCAGCACAGUGAGCACCAGCUCAGAAAUCCGAAAUGCUACUGUACUGCCAACUCCUUGUGACAUGAGCAAACACUGUAUCUGCAGAUGCAGAGGGACUUCUCAUCCAUGUACUUUCCUGCUACUCUCCAUGACUUGCUUUCAACUUGGAUCCAUACCAAGCACUAUGAAACAUAUGUGAAAGCAGAGCUCGCUUUAGUUUCUUUCUUUUGCAGAACGUUGCCAGUGAUCCAGGAAAGCAGACAAGAUUCUGAAAACAUGGACCAUUAACUAAAACAGAAAGAAAUACUCCAGCAUCGUUCUUUCUCGCUUUCUGCCUCGAGCUCUGCCUUUCAAUCAGCUGUUUCAGAACUAGCUGACAUAAUGGCACAGGAUAUAAAACCUUUGGAAAUGCCAAGUAAGUCUCUGAAAGGCAAUGCCAUUGCCAAGUGCAGAGUCCGGCCCACUGGCUUGCAUGAUAUUAAGCCUAUCUUCAGUAUAUGCAGUUGCCUCUUUCAACUGCCAGACCCAAGCAGCAUUCUCUCCAUGCCCUCAAAGUGGGAGGUGCUGCACUCAUCUGGGCACCAGGUCUCCUCAUUCUUGUCUGCAUUACUGUUUUUCUCUGAGUAACCUGCAAGGAUUGGAGUGGUUCUACAAUAAUGAGCUUUACUCCUUCCUACAGUGCUCAGCACAUUUAUAAUGAAAGAAUCAGUUUACUCCUAAGAGCCACAAACAAACAUGAGGAGCUUAAGAUAGAAGCAAUUUAGUAGCCUGCAGUAUUACGCUUAGUGGGCAAUCAUAAAUUUAAAGUGAAAAUCCCUACAGAUUUUGCUUUGCAUUAGAUAUUAUAUAAAACCCACUUGUGAAGCCAGAUUAGUAAGAAACCUUUUUGGCUGGGGUGUGUGUGUGUAUAUAUGCACACACACACAUAUAUAUAUACACAUACACAUAGAAAAAUCAAAACAGGAUUAAAACAUCUUUUGGAGACUCGGUGUCAUUUUAUGAGUAAAUAAGCUUAAAGCACCUAACAGUCAAUUCAUAAUGAAGGCUUUUGUUCUUGGUACUAUGAUGCAGCCCAGCAAAUUUGCCCACAGCUGCAGCAGUUUCAGAUGUUUCUGACAGGUAGAUAAAACAAAUGAUUUCUACCAUUAUUAUUAAUCUGCACAGUAAAGAACUUGCAAUUGCAUUUUCUUUCCAAUUGGAAAUUUUCAUGAUUAUUUUGGCAGGGGUGGUAUGGAAUAAUGUGCAUUUAUGGCACCUAUAGCUGCAAGUGUCUGAAGAAGAGGCUUUGCUCAGCUGUUCAGCUGGGAGACAAAUGGGGAAUAAAUGCUAAAUCAGUAACAACCACCUCAGUAAGCAAGAGUGUGGAAUUAAGGCAGCUUAUUUAGUGGUUGGUGGCCCUGCCCAUGGCAGGGGCUUGGUACUGGAUCAUGUUUAAGGUCCCCCCCAACUUAAGCCAUUCUAUUACUCUACUCUAGCACCAUUGGAGUUUCAUGGAUGUAUGGGCCAAACAAACCUUACUGCAGGUUCUGACAUCAGUGCACUGAGUCAGUUCUCAGUCAUUCUGAACCAAAAGCUGUGUCAGGAUAUGACCAUGCCUUAAAGAUCCUGAUGUGGGCCCACGUAUUGGUUUGUGCUUACCAGAUGCUGCUAAAGAAAUUAUUUGCAGAAUAAGGUACUACUGAAGGGUGACUGUCAGAAUCCAGCUGUAAGUGUCUUAUUAUAUUGGUCAGAAACUGUGAGAAGAGAAAAAGAGAAACUCUAUUAAAUGCCAGUCACAUCUGCUUAGCUUCUCACUCAGGUAGGCUGGCAGAUGGUCAGCAAACAGUCCCACUUUUACAAUGCAACCUACAGCCUUUAAGCAUGAAAAUUAGCAUCCAAUUAUUUUCCAGCAUUGAUGUUUGCCAAGGAAGCAGGUUACUUCUGUUUUAAUUCUGCUUAGGUUCUAUUUGCUCACACACACACGCCGAUCAUGCAGGCGCUACGCCUUGUGCACACAGGCAGAAUUGUAAGCCAGAGAAGAGUACUAGAAAUGUGGAAUAAUGCAAAUUCCAAGGCAGGGAGCUGCACAGCUUCCAACUUUUAGAAGAGACAAGGAGGAGACAGUCAAGUGAGGAAGGCACUCCAAAAAAGAGUGAUUUCCCCAACCUUCACCUAAAAUCCUAUGGUGAGAACUGUGUCUCAUGGAUAUCAAUCAAGCGUUAGAGAAGGCUACAGCCUACUGAGCACCCAGCUCUGAUAGGGAGAACCUGAGCACAUUUAGAUGAGUCCAUGGCAGGUCCUGCUUCUCCAGAGAAUGAAUGCAAGCCCACUGCUCUCUCUGUGAUACACUACCACCAACACAGUGGUAGGCAUGGUCACAUGGGACUGGGACUAGCAGAAUGUGUGCCUGAAUGUGGCCACUCUCAGGUGAACACUGGCUUUCCUUGGUAGAGCACACUGGUCUUUGAAGGGGAAAGAAGACAGAGCAAAACCUGGUUUGCUCAGGAGUUUUACAUAUGCCUGGUGUGUCAGUCUAUGCCUGAAACAGCAAUGGGUAUCAGCUAAGCUGAACCUUGACUCAUGCUUGUGAAAGUUUCCCUUAUUGUUGCAGAGCUACCUUUUAUAAUAAAGGUUACCUCCAUAUCUGGGUUUGAUCACACAAGCAGAGAUCUGCAGCCUUCCCCACUGCCUGCAGUUGUGUCACAUUAAGUGCAAAUGUUGCUGUACAUGUUGUUUCAUGGAAGUUGCCAGCUUGAAAGCAUGUAAAUUGCUUGUAAUUAUCAUUAAAGAGGGAGAAUAAUGCCCCAAGGGUGGCAACUUAUGUUAUAGCGGGGUUGCGUUUGUUACAUUCUCCCAUCUGAUGACAGGAAACUUCAUUGGCCCAACCUCAGUCUAUACCACAGUGCAUUUCAAGGCUGCAGCUUCAGCAGGUACAAUUGGAGCCAGUAGUUUUUUUCCCUCCUUCAAGUGCAAUGGGAGCACAGGAGCUCUGGUAAAGCUGCAGAGCUCUCACUCUGGGCACAGCUGAUGAGGUGGGGUUGCCUCCUGCCACGUGUUCAUACAGACCCGAGUUGUAUUAUUAAAAACCAACAGCACAUUAAAGACA